CCCUUAGAUGUUCUGGGCCGCACGCGCGCUACACUGAUGCAUUCAACGAGUCUAAAACCUGCUCUGAUAGGGGUGGGUAAUCUUUUGAAUGUGCAUCGUGAUUGGGAUAGAUGAUUGCAAUUUUUCAUCUUCAACGAGGAAUGCCUAGUAAACGCAAGUCAUCAGCUUGCAUUGAUUACGUCCCUGCCCUUUGUAUACACCGCCCGUCGCUCCUACCGAUUGAAUGAUCCGAUGAAUAUCAUGGAUUGAGGAUGCAAGUAGGUUAGCCUAUCUUCAUCUUCGAGAAGUGAAGUAAAUCUUAUCAUUUAGAGGAAGGAGAAGUCGUAACA
rnacentral:rRNA from 1 species